rnacentral:tRNA from 1 species
AAASCUUUAAACUCUUAAUUUAAAAGAAAGUAGUUAAAUUCUMCUAUUAAGGG